AAUGCCAAUGUCAUUACUCUUGCUCCUCAAUAUUGCUCAAGACACAAAGGUCACUCAUCUAAUGCAAAUAAUAAUGUGUACCAAAAGGAAUAUAUAGAUCUCACAUAUUAAAAAUGAACUGAGGAACAAAUACAAUAACUAAACAACUCUAUGUUAGCGGUGUAUGUGAAGAAAAGACACUGCUAGCUGCCCUUCAAUCAAGGGAGGAUUUACAGAUGAAGAAACUGGGGCACACAGCAGUUAAGACAGUUUGCCUAAAAUCACUAAGCCAAGGAUGACUGGCUGGCUCACUUGGAACACGCCACUCUAGAUCUCAGGAUUGUGGUUUGAUCCCCACGUUGGGCACAGAGAUUUCUUAAAAUAAAUCAUAAAGCCAGUUAAAUGGCUGAAGUACA